rnacentral:rRNA from 1 species
UACGUCGGGUGCGAGCGUUAAUCGGAAUUACUGGGCGUAAAGUGUGCGCAGGCGGCUUCGCAAGUCGAGUGUGAAAUCCCCGAGCUUAACUUGGGAAUUGCGCUCGAAACUACGGAGCUGGAGUGUGGCAGAGGAAGGUGGAAUUCCACGUGUAGCGGUGAAAUGCGUAGAGAUGCGGAGGAACACCGAUGGCGAAGGCAGCCCCCUGGGCUAACACUGACGCUCAGGCACGAAAGCGUGGGGAGCAAACAGG